GAUGAACGCUGGCGGUGUGCCUUAAGCAUGCAAGUCGAACGGGUUUAGUAGCAAUACUAGACCAGUGGCGGACGGGUGAGUAUAACGUAGGAAUCUACCUUAAAGUGUGGAAUAGCCGGCCGAAAGGCCGGGUAAUACCGCAUGUGAUCGCAAGAUUAAAGGCCUUAACCGGCCGCUUUAAGAGGAGCCUGCGCCCUAUCAGCUAGUUGGCGGGGUAAUAGCCCACCAAGGCGAUGACGGGUAGGGGUGUGAGAGCAUGACCCCCCACAAGGUCACUGAGACACGGGACCUACACCUACGGGUGGCUG
rnacentral:rRNA from 1 species